rnacentral:lncRNA from 1 species
CUGCCAGGGAGGCCAUCCUAUCUGGAGCCUUGGUGGCUUGGCCCCUGCUCCCGAGGACUGCCUAGGCCUGUGGAAAGGCUGGGAAGGAUUGAGCAGGAAUCUGAACUGUGACCAGGAUAGCCCAGGCCUCUGGAGACGCUGAAGGGGAAAGCACUGAUCGCGGCACGUGUCUUCAGAGGUGUCCG